UACGAAGGGGGCUAGCGUUGCUCGGAAUCACUGGGCGUAAAGGGUGCGUAGGCGGGUCUUUAAGUCGAGGGGUGAAAUCCUGGAGCUCAACUCCAGAACUCGCCUUUGAUACUGAAGAUCUUGAGUUCGGGGAGAGGUGAGUGGAACUGCGAGUGUAGAGGUGAAAUUCGUAGAUAUUCGCAAGAACACCAGUGGCGAAGGCGGCUCACUGGCCCGAUACUGACGCUGAUGCACGAAAGCGUGGGGAGCAAACAGG
rnacentral:rRNA from 1 species